AUUGAACGCUGGCGGCAUGCCUUACACAUGCAAGUCGAACGGUAACAGGUCUUCGGAUGCUGACGAGUGGCGAACGGGUGAGUAAUACAUCGGAACGUGCCUAGUAGUGGGGGAUAACUACUCGAAAGAGUGGCUAAUACCGCAUGAGAUCAACGGAUGAAAGCAGGGGAUCGCAAGACCUCGUGCUACUAGAGCGGCCGAUGGCAGAUUAGGUAGUUGGUGGGAUAAAAGCUUACCAAGCCGACGAUCUGUAGCUGGUCUGAGAGGACGAUCAGCCACACUGGGACUGAGACACGGCCCAGACUCCUACGGGAGGCAGCAGUGGGGAAUUUUGGACAAUGGGCGCAAGCCUGAUCCAGCAAUGCCGCGUGCAGGAUGAAGGCCUUCGGGUUGUAAACUGCUUUUGUACGGAACGAAAAGCCCUGGGUUAAUACCCUGGGGUCAUGACGGUACCGUAAGAAUAAGCACCGGCUAACUACGUGCCAGCAGCCGCCGCGG
rnacentral:rRNA from 1 species